rnacentral:lncRNA from 1 species
UGAUAGGGGGGGGGGGUUUCUUAUCUAAAAUACUAGUUCUCGAAUCUUUGAAAUAAAUUGGUAUAAUUAUUUCCACUAACAUCUACAUUUUUUAUAUAUAAUUAUUCACUAUUUUUUUUAUUUCAUAUUAUCUAUCCAAACGCUAUUUUUUUUAUCACUGGAAACAACCUAAUUUUUAUCCAAACGCUAUUUUGCUUAUCCUCAUACUUGUACCUAUCAUUGUAAGAGCCAGUUCUUGCUUAUAUCCGAACCAAACGGUAUAAGACUAUAAAGUCCUUCGUACUUAUAAGUUGUUUUCACUGAUGGAGCUUUCGA